rnacentral:lncRNA from 1 species
UGCCUUCACAGAAUUUAAAUUGGCAUUAGGAAUAGAUUUCCUUGAUUUAGUAAUGAUAUUGCUCAUAGAAAUUGAUAAUGUGAAGAAUAACAAUAUAGGAACAUAGAAUAACAAGAAAGAAAUUCUAGCAGCAAGUUAGGUUAUGAGAUAAAUUUUAUUUAUAUAGUUUGUUUAAAGAGUUUAGUUUGAAAAAAAGGGACACAGUAAAAAGACAAAACAUUUAGACCCUUUGAAAGAGAAAUGUUUGCAAUGGAUAUUAAUAAAUUCUAGCCAAUUUGUACGAUGUACAAUGCAGGCAAUAUUUCUGCCUCCCCCACUAUUCGCGUAAAAGAAGAUGUGGGUAUUGUAUUUAUAGGUAGUUAAUGAUACAUGGAAUAUAUUUCUAUAUUAUUGCAAUAACGAUGUCUUUAUGUUGUAUUUUUUUAGAACAGAUUUAUUAUUAGUUGGCUAGUGUGUUAGUAGGAUAGCCAUUGGUAGUUAUAAAGUAUGAAGUCGUCAGGUAUUAAUAAUAGGAAUUGAU